rnacentral:rRNA from 1 species
GACGAACGCUGGCGGCGUGCUUAACACAUGCAAGUCGAACGGAAAGGCCCUGCUUUUGUGGGGUGCUCGAGUGGCGAACGGGUGAGUAACACGUGAGUAACCUGCCCUUGACUUUGGGAUAACUUCAGGAAACUGGGGCUAAUACCGGAUAGGAUCUCCUGCUGCAUGGUGGGGGUUGGAAAGUUUCGGCGGUUGGGGAUGGACUCGCGGCUUAUCAGCUUGUUGGUGGGGUAGUGGCUUACCAAGGCUUUGACGGGUAGCCGGCCUGUGUGGGUGACCGGCCACAUUGGGACUGAGAUACGGCCCAGACUCCUACGGGAGGCAGCAGUGGGGAAUAUUGCACAAUGGGCGGAAGCCUGAUGCAGCAACGCCGCGUGCGGGAUGACGGCCUUCGGGUUGUAAACCGCUUUCGCCUGUGACGAAGCGUGAGUGACGGUAAUGGGUAAAGAAGCACCGGCUAACUACGUG